AGAGUUUGAUCCUGGCUCAGAACGAACGCUGGCGGCGUGUCUUAAGCAUGCAAGUCGAGCGGCAAGGCAGAGCAAUCUGCCCUAGAGCGGCGGACUGGUGAGUAACGCGUGGAUGAUCUACCUUUGGGAUGGGGAUAGCCAUUAGAAAUAGUGGGUAAUACCGAAUACGUUCGCAUAAAUACGUUUAUGCGAGGAAAGGCGCUACGGCGCCACCCAUAGAUGAGUCCGCGUCCCAUUAGCUAGUUGGUGAGGUAAAGGCUCACCAAGGCGAUGAUGGGUAGCCGGCCUGAGAGGGUGUACGGCCACAUUGGGACUGAGAUACGGCCCAAACUCCUACGGGAGGCAGCAGCUAAGAAUAUUCCGCAAUGGACGAAAGUCUGACGGAGCGACGCCGCGUGGAUGAUGAAGGCCGAAAGGUUGUAAAAUCCUUUUGUCGGGGAAGAAUAAGCGUGGGAGGGAAUGCCCGCGUGAUGACGUUAACCGGCGAAUAAGCCCCGGCUAACUACGUGCCAGCAGCCGCGGUAACACGUAGGGGGCGAGCGUUGUUCGGAAUUACUGGGCGUAAAGGGCAUGUAGGCGGUUUUAUAAGCCUGACGUGAAAGGCUAUGGCUCAACCAUGGCAUUGCGUUGGGAACUGUGAGACUUGAAUCACGGAGGGGGAGCUGGAAUUCCAGGUGUAGGGGUGAAAUCUGUAGAUAUCUGGAAGAACACCAGUGGCGAAGGCGAGCUCCUGGCCGAUGAUUGACGCUGAGGUGCGAAAGUGUGGGGAUCAAACAGGAUUAGAUACCCUGGUAGUCC
rnacentral:rRNA from 1 species